CCAAGAAAAUUUUUGCUUACUUAAAGUUUUAAGACAAACCAUGAGGCUUAACAGACAUUUUUAUACAAAGUGCAAGAGGAAGGAAUUAAUGUGUUUUACCUGUGAAAAAAGGAAAUCACAGAAUUUUACCAGCGCAACAAAGUCAACGUGUUACAAAAAAGCAAUAACUGAAUACACAAAAUGGCGCGAAAUUGUAGAAAAGUGUUAAUGGUGUCAAAUUACAAUGGUGGGUGCAGAUUUUUCUUAGUCAAUACAAUAUAUCCACGCUCUGCAUAUUGGAAAACAUCCUUUAAAUUUUUAAAAUGUUUUGACUAAACAUAAACUGUUCUUAUAUUGUAAAUAACAAAAUCAUUUUUUUAAAACAAUUCAGAAAUACACGAAAUGAGAUAA